CUCUCUCUCUCAUUCUCUCAUUAUUCGUUCAAACAUUAUUUCAAAAACCCUAGAGAAAAAUCAUCUGCAUCCAUAGCAAGAGAAAUCAUCUGCCGCCUGUCCUUCGUCUGCAAAUCUUCGAUCUUUCAAUGCCGCUCGACAAUUAGGAUUUCUUCUUCUUCAAUGUCUCUGUUGAUCCUCCAUAUCUGUGUGUCCUUAUUUUCAUUAUAAAGUUUUUGAUGGAUUAUCCGUAUUGUUAUCGGUUCAAUCUAAAUAGAUCUGUGUUGAAGGAUGUGCGAACAAAGAUCUAGGGUUAGAUCUUGCAAAAGUUUUGGAUGAUUUUGGAUCUGUUAUUGUGUUAGGAGAUCUCGUGUUAAGGAUGAACAGUGUUGUAGCUGAGUAGUCAAGGAGACUUCAAAUGAUCCUUGAAAGUGGAGGCUGAUAGAUGCCAAGAUAGGACUCUUGUCCCAGAUUUUGGAUCUAGAACAAGCACUUUACUAGCUUUUGUAACAGUUGCAACAUCCGAUCUAUCUUGUGGAUAAUCCGCAAUGCCUAGAGAAAUUAGAAGUAGCUAGGAGAGUGGGUACAAGAUAGCAUCUAUGGCUGCAACACCUGAUCAAGCAGUAUAUUGUUUGAUUAACAAAAUCGCCGACCCAGUGAUUAACUUCACCUUCAAAGAUAUCUGAAUAAGAAUUGACAGCAAUUGAACAUUGUCAAGUAGGCCGAACCACAUCCGGGUCUAAGCCCCAAUGUUGAGGCGCGAUUUUCUCAUUUUUUUUAACAUUUUAACUAAACUGUAGGUGCUCACAAAUGGCAUAGAGGUGGAGUUACAAAGGGAUACGCUUAGAAGGCAACGUUUCGGGGAAGAUCUUGGGCUGUUGAAUCUGAAAGACCUUGAACAACUCCUCAAGCACCAACUGGACUCAAACUUUGAGGCAAAUCUGGUCCAUAGGAGGUAGCUCAACUGUAUGAGAAAAAAACUAAAGGUUGGAUCCUAUAUCAAAGGCUCUUCAGUUUUUAGGAUUUCCUGGUGGAUAAGUCUAUUUGUGAUAGCCAUGAAGCUCAGAUUCUAAGGCUAUUGGGUGUGGAGGAGGGUAGUCCUCAAAGGAUGAUCCACCACAUAGGCGUCCACGUAAGCGGAUGUGGAGAUGACCCUAAAGGGAUGGACCUAGAGUGUGGGGAUGGGCCUAAAGAAGAAAGAGAGAAGUGGAGCGUCGAGCUGGCAUAGUGGAAGAAUGUAAUCUACUUUUUUUACAUAGAGGAAAUAAGGUCACUUUUUAAUAUCUAACACUGCAUUGUAUUCUGUCUCUAUGUUUGAUAUAUUAUAGAGGGAGAAUUUCACCAAAAUGUAAUGAACUUUGACAAAAAUUUUAUUGUUUGUAAUGAACUAUGUUUU
rnacentral:lncRNA from 1 species